rnacentral:rRNA from 1 species
CAUUCAGUAGCGAGCUUAACCGAGUAGGGGAGGCGUAGGGAAACCGAGUCUUAAUAGGGCGACUAGUUGCUGGGUGUAGACCCGAAACCGAGUGAUCUAUCCAUGGCCAGGAUGAAGGUGCGGUAAAACGCAUUGGAGGUCCGAACCCACGUAUGUUGCAAAAUGCGGGGAUGAGCUGUGGAUAGGGGUGAAAGGCUAAACAAACUCGGAGAUAGCUGGUUCUCCCCGAAAACUAUUUAGGUAGUGCCUCGAGUAUGAGACUGAUGGGGGUAAAGCACUGUUAUGGCUAGGGGGUUAUUGCAACUUACCAACCCAUGGCAAACUAAGAAUACCAUCAAGUUGCUCCUCGGGAGACAGACAUCGGGUGCUAACGUCCGGUGUCAAGAGGGAAACAACCCAGACCGCCAGCUAAGGUCCCAAAUGAUAGAUUAAGUGGUAAACGAAGUGGGAAGGCACAGACAGCCAGGAUGUUGGCUUAGAAGCAGCCAUCAUUUAAAGAAAGCGUAAUAGCUCACUGGUCGAGUCUUCCUGCGCGGAAGAUGUAACGGGGCUCAAAUCUAUAACCGAAGCUGCGGAUAUACUUUUGUAUAUGGUAGGGGAGCGUUCUGUAAGCCUGUGAAGGUGACUUGUAAAGGUUGCUGGAGGUAUCAGAAGUGCGAAUGUUGACAUGAGUAGCGAUAAAGCGGGUGAAAAGCCCGCUCGCCGAAAGCCCAAGGUUUCCUACGCAACGUUCAUCGGCGUAGGGUGAGUCGGUCCCUAAGGCGAGGCAGAAAUGCGUAGUCGAUGGGAAACAGGUUAAUAUUCCUGUACUUUGAUUCAAUGCGAUGUGGGGACGGAGAAGGUUAGGUUAGCAAACUGUUGGAAUAGUUUGUUUAAGCCAGUAGGUGGAAAGAGUAGGCAAAUCCGCUCUUUCUUAACACCGAGACGUGAUGACGAGUGUUUACGGACAUGAAGUGACCAAUACCACGCUUCCAGGAAAAGCCACUAAGCUUCAGUUGAAUCAGAACCGUACCGCAAACCGACACAGGUGGGCAGGAUGAGAAUUCUAAGGCGCUUGAGAGAACUCGGGAGAAGGAACUCGGCAAAUUGAUACCGUAACUUCGGGAGAAGGUAUGCCCUCUAAUGUUAAGGACUUGCUCCGUAAGCAUCUGAGGGUCGCAGAGAAUCGGUGGCUGCGACUGUUUAUUAAAAACACAGCACUCUGCUAACACGAAAGUGGACGUAUAGGGUGUGACGCCUGCCCGGUGCUGGAAGGUUAAUUGAAGAUGUGCAAGCAUCGGAUCGAAGCCCCAGUAAACGGCGGCCGUAACUAUAACGGUCCUAAGGUAGCGAAAUUCCUUGUCGGGUAAGUUCCGACCCGCACGAAUGGCGUAACGAUGGCCACACUGUCUCCUCCCGAGACUCAGCGAAGUUGAAAUGGUUGUGAAGAUGCAAUCUCCCCGCUGCUAGACGGAAAGACCCCGUGAACCUUUACUGUAGCUUUGCAUUGGACUUUGAAGUCACUUGUGUAGGAUAGGUGGGAGGCUUUGAAGCAGAGACGCCAGUCUCUGUGGAGCCGUCCUUGAAAUACCACCCUGGUGACUUUGAGGUUCUAACCCAGACCCGUUAUCCGGGUCGGGGACCGUGCAUGGUAGGCAGUUUGACUGGGGCGGUCUCCUCCCAAAGAGUAACGGAGGAGUUCGAAGGUUACCUAGGUCCGGUCGGAAAUCGGACUGAUAGUGCAAUGGCAAAAGGUAGCUUAACUGCGAGACCGACAAGUCGAGCAGGUGCGAAAGCAGGACAUAGUGAUCCGGUGGUUCUGAAUGGAAGGGCCAUCGCUCAACGGAUAAAAGGUACUCCGGGGAUAACAGGCUGAUUCCGCCCAAGAGUCCAUAUCGACGGCGGAGUUUGGCACCUCGAUGUCGGCUCAUCACAUCCUGGGGCUGUAGUCGGUCCCAAGGGUAUGGCUGUUCGCCAUUUAAAGUGGUACGUGAGCUGGGUUUAAAACGUCGUGAGACAGUUUGGUCCCUAUCUGCAGUGGGCGUUGGAAGUUUGAAGGGGGCUGCUCCUAGUACGAGAGGACCGGAGUGGACGAACCUCUGGUGUACCGGUUGUUUCGCCAGAAGCAUAGCCGGGUAGCUAAGUUCGGAAGAGAUAAGCGCUGAAAGCAUCUAAGCGCGAAACUCGCCCAAAGAUGAGACUUCCCUUGUGGUUUAACCAUACUAAAGAGUCGUUCGAGACCAGGACGUUGAUAGGUUGGGUGUGGAAGGGUGGUAACACUUGAAGCUAACCAAUACUAAUUGCUCGUGAGGCUUGACUCU